rnacentral:tRNA from 1 species
GGGGAUUUAGCUCAGUGGUAGAGCACUUGCCUAGCAAGCAUAAGGCCCUGGGUUCGAUCCCCAGCUCCG